UACGAAGGUUGCAAGCGUUGUUCGGCAUCACUGGGCUUAAAGCGUAUGUAGGCGGAUGAGUAAGCGUUUUGUGAAAUACCCCGGCUUAACCGGGGAAUUGCUUGGCGAACUGCUCAUCUUGAGGCAAGCAGGGGUGCAUGGAACUCUUGGUGGAGCGGUGGAAUGCGUAGAUAUCAAGAGGAACGCCGGCGGCGAAAGCGGUGCACUGGGCUUGUUCUGACGCUCAGAUACGAAAGCGCGGGGAGCAAACGGG
rnacentral:rRNA from 1 species